rnacentral:tRNA from 1 species
GCCUGGGUAGCUCAGUGGGUUGAGCAUCUGACUUCUGCUCAGGUCAUGAUCUCGUGGUUCAUGAGUUCGAGCCCCACUUUGGGCU